rnacentral:lncRNA from 1 species
ACAAUAUCGAAAAUGUUUCAAGAGUAGGGUAACAACUAAAAAUAAAAAUAAAAACUUAUUUUACCUUGCCAACGAUACAGGUUUAACUCAAAUUGUUGUGUCCUUGUAAUUAGCACUAACCAUUUAAAAGGUGACAACUCAAAAUAAUACUGCUUCAAAUUUCAACUAAACAGGUACAACUCAAAAUAACUCCAAACUUUUUACGGAGGACACUUGUACUCCGCUUUUAAUUCUGAUUGCAUCUAGCGUUGUUCCCGUUUAUGCGCGGGAAGAUCUGGCUCGCUCGUUCAACAAAAGAGACUCUAGGUGCCAUCUAGCGUUGAAUUUUGCACAUAUUUUUAAAUCUCUUUUAUUGAUCAAUAGGUAUCCGUACAGGGAAUUAAAUGGUAAGCUUAACUCAAUUUCACAUAUUUUUGACUUAACUCUCUUUAGAUCUAGGUGUG